GACCGCGUAGCUCAGUUGGAAGAGCAUUGGGCUAGUAUUCCAAAGGUCGUAGGUUCAAAUCCCUCUGUGGCCG
rnacentral:tRNA from 1 species